GUAGAUAAAGCCAAACCAUUUGUGAAAAUGGGACGGAAAGCCACGGGUCUUAGAAAAAUAUAAGAUAGCCGGGUUGCCAGAG
rnacentral:ncRNA from 1 species